rnacentral:rRNA from 1 species
CCUACGGGAGGCAGCAGUGGGGAAUUUUGGACAAUGGGCGCAAGCCUGAUCCAGCAAUGCCGCGUGCGGGAAGAAGGCCUUCGGGUUGUAAACCGCUUUUGUACGGAACGAAAAGGCUCUGGCUAAUACCUGGGGCUGAUGACGGUACCGUAAGAAUAAGCACCGGCUAACUACGUGCCAGCAGCCGCGGUAAUACGUAGGGUGCGAGCGUUAAUCGGAAUUACUGGGCGUAAAGCGUGCGCAGGCGGUCUUGUAAGACAGAGGUGAAAUCCCUGGGCUCAACCUAGGAAUGGCCUUUGUGACUGCAAGGCUGGAGUGCGGCAGAGGGGGAUGGAAUUCCGCGUGUAGCAGUGAAAUGCGUAGAUAUGCGGAGGAACACCGAUGGCGAAGGCAGUCCCCUGGGCCUGCACUGACGCUCAUGCACGAAAGCGUGGGGAGCAAACAGGAUUAGAUACCCUGGUAGUCCACGCCCUAAACGAUGUCGACUGGUUGUUGGGCCUUAGGUGGCUCAGUAACGAAGCUAACGCGUGAAGUCGACCGCCUGGGGAGUACGGCCGCAAGGUUGAAACUCAAAUGAAUUGACGG